GGGAUGGAUCUCUAGUUGGAGAUUCUUCUCUUGUGGAGUUUUCAUGCAAUCUUUGGAAAUAGUUAUGGGGGAAAAAGAGCUACCCCACGUCACAGUGGAUUAGGGAAUAACAAAGUGAAAUACGUUUAUCUCAAAUGCACUGGCAGAGAUUGUCCAGAGAGGAUACGGAUGCCUCAUCCCUGGGGACACUCAAGGUCAGGUUGGACAGGACUCUGGGCAACCUGAUGUAGUUAUAGGUGUCCCUCUUCAUUCCAGGAGAACUGGAGUAGAUGGUCUUUAAGGGUCCCUUCCAAUUCUAAGGAUUCUAUGAUAAUUUAUGUGAUGAAGAGAGAUAGGACUGAGGAAGAGA